rnacentral:rRNA from 1 species
GUGAGGAAUAUUGGGCAAUGGGCGCAAGCCUGACCCAGCGACGCCGCGUGGGCGAAGAAGGCCUUCGGGUCGUAAAGCCCUUUUCUACCGGAAGAGGAAGGACGGUACGGUAGGAAGAAGUCACGGCUAACUACGUGCCAGCAGCCGCGGUAAAACGUAGGUGGCAAGCGUUAUCCGGAAUCACUGGGCGUAAAGGGCAUCUAGGCGGUCUGGUAAGUCGCGUGUGAAAGCCUCCGGCUCAACCGGGGGAGGACAAGCGAGACUGCGAGGCUUGAGGGUCGGAGAGGGACGUGGAAUUCCCGGUGUAGUGGUGAAAUGCGUAGAGAUCGGGAGGAACACCAGUGGCGAAGGCGGCGUCCUGGCCGACACCUGACGCUGAAGUGCGAAAGCGUGGGGAGCGAACGGGAUUAGAUACCCCUGUAGUCC